rnacentral:rRNA from 1 species
UACGGGGGGAGCAAGCGUUGUUCGGAUUUACUGGGCGUAAAGGGCGCGUAGGCGGCCACCGCAAGUCGGUUGUGAAAUCUCUGGGCUUAACCCAGAAAGGUCAAUCGAUACUGCGGGGCUAGAGUGCAGAAGGGGCAACUGGAAUUCUCGGUGUAGCGGUGAAAUGCGUAGAUAUCGAGAGGAACACCUGCGGCGAAGGCGGGUUGCUGGGCUGACACUGACGCUGACAGCGCGAAAGCGAGGGGAGCGAACGGG